GGCAGUUUAUAAUCUAAAUGUCGAUGUCGUCUUUGUUGGUAUGCAGAAAAGUCCAGGGAAAAUGGAAAAUAAUUAGAUUGUUGAUUGCAACUAUAUAUAUGAUACGAUUAAACAAACUAAUUAUAUAUGAUGUAAUAUUGCUGACAAAAAGAAAAUUAUAUAGUAAUGAUGUAAUAUUAUCGAAAUUCAAACAUGUCGUUAUCCAUAGUUGUUACGUAUAUAUACACAGUGAUUAUAUUACGUUAUCAAUAAAACCGUAAGUUCAAUAUGUAUACGUAUAGGUGAUUCACGUGGUAUGACCAUAUUCUAGAUUUCCAAACUGUCGAAAAGAUGUAAAUACAUUUAAAAAUAAGAUACGCACUCAUACGAACCAACAUAUAACUUUUAAAUAUGCUUCAUAUGUAGACUCAACCAUUUUGAUAGCCGGGGAGCCAAACACAAACGUCGUCGGUAACCAAAUGUAUUAAAUAAUAACAAUUCUCCUAUCA
rnacentral:lncRNA from 1 species